CCUACGGGGGGCAGCAGUGAGGAAUAUUGGUCAAUGGCCGGAAGGCUGAACCAGCCAAGCCGCGUGAAGGACGAAGGUGCCAAGCAUUGUAAACUUCUUUUGUCAAGGGACAAAAUCAGGCUCGAGAGCCUGACCGAGUGUACUUGAAGAAAAAGCAUCGGCUAACUCCGUGCCAGCAGCCGCGGUAAUACGGAGGAUGCGAGCGUUAUCCGGAUUUAUUGGGUUUAAAGGGUGCGUAGGGGGACGGUUAAGUCAGCGGUAAAAGGCCGGGGCUCAACCCCGGCUAGCCGUUGAAAAUGGCUGCCUUGAGAUGUCGUGAGGUAUGCGGAAUGCGUAGUGUAGCGGUGAAAUGCUUAGAUAUUGCGAAGAACUCCGAUUGCGAAGGCAGCAUACUGGCGGCGAUCUGACGCUGAGGCACGAAAGCGUGGGUAUCGAACAGGAUUAGAUACCCCAGUAGUC
rnacentral:rRNA from 1 species